GCCUGGCUUCCCUGGAUGAUGGACUACAAACUGCACCCCUGGCACAUUUCUAUGCACCAAGUCCUCUGAGAAGCACUGGGAAUCCAGAGAAGAUGACACUGUCACUACCUUUAAAGGCCACAUGAUCUUUUAUGGAGAAACUAAGGCUCGAGAUGGGUGGUCCCCUGCAGCUUAUGGGAAAUGAAUGUACAAACUCAGUCCCACGUUUUCUGUUUCCUGUUUUCUUUAUUCCUUUCAGAGAAGCAAUGAGAGGUGAUCUGAGAGAAGUGGAAACUGGCCAUUGCAGUGCCAUGUACAAUCUUCUUAUCAUGGACUUGGGCAGCAAGAAGAUAGACUCCCUUUUGCAGCUCAAAUCAGGAAUCAGAGAGAUGAAAAGCAUAACACAGACUCUAGUGGCCUGAACAAGGCAGGAACAUUAUCAUCAUCUGCCCAAAUUCAACCAAGAGAACUGAAAGGAACUGAAUAAGAUAUAAUGAGGGUUCAUGAAGACAGUAUAUAGAAUUAGGAAGCCAGGAAGCUGGAAGAUAGAUCCAGAGCUAGCUCACCACAGAGGAUCCUGGCGAUGAGU
rnacentral:lncRNA from 1 species